rnacentral:lncRNA from 1 species
UAAAAAGUCAAUGCAAUAAAAAUGGUGUAUAACGAUACUUUUAAAUAUCGGUACAGAUAAAAAAAAAUCUUGCUGGCUAAACUACCGACACUUUUAAAAAGUGUUGCUAUAUAUGGGGUCGCUAGGUAUAUCGUGACAGUUAAAAGCGUUGGUAUAACCUAAACAUAGUGCUGUUAAUUUACCAACACUUAUUUAAACAUUUAUCAACCGCAGAACUCUACCUGGUUGGCUGCGGUGGCGAAGGAGGAGGAGAGGGAAGGGCUCUUCGUCUAGAAUUUCAGUGGAUUGAGUGAGGAGAAAAGGGAGAUGAUAAUCGAUUUUUCUUUUUUUUUUUUCUUUUCUGUUUGUAAUUGGGCUGAAUGGGCUGGGUGGGGUGGGUUGAGUAGAGUAACAUUUUAUUUUUUGUUUGAUUUGGCUUUAUAUUUAGCCAUUAGUAGAUUUUUUUUUAUGUUUUGGUAUAAAUGGGACACUUAUACAAAAGUGUCCAAAAUAUGUGUCACUAUAAUCUAAUUCUGUUGUAGUAAGCCAUUGAAAUUUGAAAUUAAAGUAUGAUACUUUUAAUAGUUUAGGAACCAUGCUUUGGUGCAGUUUUAUCCUAAUUUGUAAGGGCUUAAUUUAACCCAUUUUAUAUGGGCUUUUCACUAUUUGGGAGUUCUAACGAAUGAAAAGGCCUACUAAUAUCAUGUGCUUUUUCCGCAUACUAAUAUCAAAAGGUAAAAGCAUAUAUAACUUGUCUGAACUAUGAAUCAUUUUGAAUUGGCUUGCAAAUUUUUCAAAAUUUUGAUUUUAAUAUUCAAAUUUUCAUUUUGUCUGAUUUGAGUCACUGCGACACUUUAACUUUAAAUUUUGAAAACGUUAUUUUAUUUUUACAGAUUUAGUUAGCAUACUUCAUGCAGUUCUCGUAACUAUAAAUUUAUUAAAGCAAAUAAUUAACUUAAAUUUUGAAGUCAAAAUAUUAUUGACUGAUUCAAAUCAAAUAAGUUAAAAGGCUGGACGGUAAGUAAAAAAAUAAAAAUAAAAAUAUUAGGUAGCUGAAUUCAAAAUGGUUCAUAGUUUAAAAAAGCUAUGUAUAUUUUUACUAUACCAUAAAGUAUUUAGGGAUAAUUUAAUUCAUACAACUCUCUAUAAAUAUAUUGAAUAGUAGAUAUAUCUCUACAAAGUUUAAGUUUUCAGAUUUAUUUCUCAAAAUGUCCUAAUGAUUUUAAAUAUACCCCUAAUGGUAAUAUCCGUUAGAAAAAUAUAGCUAAUUAUAGAUAAAAUACUUAACCUUGAUUAAUGAAUGAGGUAAUUGACUUUUUUAUCCCAUUGUAUAUUUUUCUCUCAAUGAAAACCCUAGCAACAAAAAAUCUUCUUCCUCUUCCUCUUUCUCUCUCUCUCUUAAUGCACAUUUCAAAUCCAUAACUAGAAUUUUUUCGCCAUCAUUCAUCCACAAUGCAUAUUAUUUCACCCAUAUUGAGCAUGGAGAAAUCGCCUGUGACACUCCCCCUACUUCGAGAACAAAGUAUUAGAUAGGUAAUGAAGCAAAAGGAUGAGAGAAAAGGUACAGAAUAGAUUGCAAUAUUUGUGGAUUGGAUCAGUUUUUAUGAAGAAAGAAGAUGAUCAUUGAAUUUUUUUUAGAUGACAUUUCUAUACUAUUUUAUCAGUUGGGGCUUUUCGAAGAACAUAUUUGUGAUGACAAAAUUGACAUUUUUAAUUAUCUUCUGUUAAAAUAUAAAAAGUGAGCAUAUAGUAAUAAAUCGGAGAGGCAAUUAUAAAUAUUAUUAGACUUUUGAAGAGAUAAAUCUUAAAAUUUAAACUUUGUAAGGAUAUAUAUAUGUUAUUCGAUAUGUUCACAUGGAGCUGUAUAAAAUUAACCAAGUAUUUAUAUCAAAAACUGAGUACAUCUUCAACUUGGGUGGCGCAAGCAAGAAUGGCUUUCCAUGGUUAGAUCAUUAAUUCAUCAUAAUUUACCAGUGCACUUUUUGAACUAGCCAAAAUUUCCAAAUUAAGCUCCUGUUUCCUACAUUACAAAGUCAAAAUAAGAGAGAGGUAGGUGCUGGGAUGCAAACGGGACGGAUCGGAGGCAGAAGCCCUGCCCUGUCUCUCGUCCCGACUAUCAAAAUUCCGCCUCGCCUCUUGCCCCGAAUUUGAUCGUGACAGGUUAAAAAAUAUAUUCCAUAAUUCGUCCUGCCUCGUAACCCGCCAUCCGCUGGCGCCCCGAAUCUGUCCCGCCAACUAAUAUUUUUUAUAAAAUUAUAAUAUUAUUAAUAUUUUGUAAAAUAUAAAUUAAUAAUUUUAUAAUAUUAUAUAUAUAAUUAAUAAUAUUAAUUAUAAAAAUUAAAAAUAUAAAUUACAAUUCGAAGCAAAAUUCAAAAGUUUGAAAUACAUAAGAAAUGAGAGCACUAAUUUAUUUGUAUUUCAAAUUUUUUUGUAAAUACAUUAUUCUUUUAGAAUUUUCGACGCCAAAUCCACCUCGGAUUAUAAAAAUUGCCCAAUUUCUCGCCCAGAAUUCGUUUAUUUUUUUUUCUGUUUACUGCUCCAUUCAGAGCGAAUCAGGAGUUAGGACAGGAGUUCUAUCAAUCCGGAUCUAUUUGCAUCCCUAGAGGUUGGUGAAGUAUAAUUUGGUGGGUGGGU